AUGCUGUGGUAUGCCCAGCAUGGCCACGGGCCCAAGCCAGAACAUGACAAAACCAAGUCUUCUCCUCCUUUCUUAUGUUUAUUUUUAAGCCUGUCAAGGACUGAAGGAGGCCCUUGUUCAGCAGAAGAGAGGAAGAGAUCGCAGACCCCUCAGGAUGGCGUAUAUAAUCACACACAUGUUCUAGAUCUUGGGUGGGCUUCCUGCGUCAGCAACCCCCCUAACCCUCAGAUGGCACCGCUGUGUGAACUCCAACUGUGCGAAUGUGUCCUGCACCUCCAGGCCUCUGGGCCUGCGUUCCCAUCUCCCCUCUGCUUGGAAAGAGCCCCUCUUCUUGGGUCUGUGAUUCCUCACCUGGAAGGGAGAAGAGCAGACUUCCUGCCUGGAGAACACCUUGGUAAACUGCUCUUUAUCCUGUCAUGA
rnacentral:lncRNA from 1 species